rnacentral:rRNA from 1 species
AGAGUUUGAUCAUGGCUCAGGACGAACGCUGGCGGCGUGCUUAACACAUGCAAGUCGAACGGAAAGGCCCUUCGGGGUACUCGAGUGGCGAACGGGUGAGUAACACGUGGGUGAUCUGCCCUGCACUUUGGGAUAAGCCUGGGAAACUGGGUCUAAUACCGAAUAUGACCAUGCACUUCCUGGUGUGUGGUGGAAAGCUUUUGCGGUGUGGGAUGGGCCCGCGGCCUAUCAGCUUGUUGGUGGGGUAAUGGCCUACCAAGGCGACGACGGGUAGCCGGCCUGAGAGGGUGACCGGCCACACUGGGACUGAGAUACGGCCCAGACUCCUACGGGAGGCAGCAGUGGGGAAUAUUGCACAAUGGGCGCAAGCCUGAUGCAGCGACGCCGCGUGAGGGAUGACGGCCUUCGGGUUGUAAACCUCUUUCAGCACAGACGAAGCGCAAGUGACGGUAUGUGCAGAAGAAGGACCGGCCAACUACGUGCCAGCAGCCGCGGUAAUACGUAGGGUCCGAGCGUUGUCCGGAAUUACUGGGCGUAAAGAGCUCGUAGGUGGUUUGUCGCGUUGUUCGUGAAAACUCACAGCUUAACUGUGGGCGUGCGGGCGAUACGGGCAGACUUGAGUACUGCAGGGGAGACUGGAAUUCCUGGUGUAGCGGUGGAAUGCGCAGAUAUCAGGAGGAACACCGGUGGCGAAGGCGGGUCUCUGGGCAGUAACUGACGCUGAGGAGCGAAAGCGUGGGGAGCGAACAGGAUUAGAUACCCCGGUAGUCC